rnacentral:rRNA from 1 species
ACGUAGGAGGCGAGCGUUAUCCGGAGUUACUGGGCGUAAAGCGCGUGUAGGUGGUUGAGCAAGUUGCGUGUGAAAGCGCCCGGCUAAACUGGGCGAGGACAGGCAAGACUGCUUGGCUAGAGGGUGAUAGAGGGGCGUGGAAUUCCGGGUGUAGCGGUGAAAUGUGCAGAGAUCCGGAGGAACACCAGUGGUGGAGACGGCGCCCUGGGUCACACCUGACACUGAGACGCGAAAGCGUGGGGAGCGAACGG